GCUGGCAGCCAUAUCACCAUUCAACCCCCACUGGAAGUCCAAUGAAGUUUAGCAGGUGUGAGCCUGGUCAGUACCUGGAUGGGGGACCUCCUGAGAAAAACUAAGGUUGCUGCUGGAA
rnacentral:rRNA from 1 species